CCUACGGGAGGCAGCAGUGAGGAAUAUUGGUCAAUGGACGAGAGUCUGAACCAGCCAAGUAGCGUGAAGGAUGACUGCCCUAUGGGUUGAAAACUUCUUUUAUAUGGGAAUAAAAUGUUCCACGUGUGGGAUUUUGUAUGUACCAUAUGAAUAAGGAUCGCAUAACUCAGUGCCAGCCGCCGCGGUAAUACGGUGGAUCCGAGCGUUAUCCGGAUUUAUUGGGUUUAAAGGGAGCGUAGGUGGAUUGUUAAGUCAGUUGUGAAAGUUUGCGGCUCAACCGUAAAAUUGCAGUUGAAACUGGCAGUCUUGAGUACAGUAGAGGUGGGCGGAAUUCGAGGUGUAGCGGUGAAAUGCUGAGAUAUCACGAAGAACUCCGAUUGCGAAGGCAGUUCACUGGACUGCAACUGACACUGAGGCUCGAAAGUGUGGGUAUCAAACAGGAUUAGAUACCCUAGUAGUC
rnacentral:rRNA from 1 species